CAGUCGCCGCGGGAAUACGGAGGGUGCAAGCGUUAAUCGGAAUUACUGGGCGUAAAGCGCACGCAGGCGGUUUGUUAAGUCAGAUGUGAAAUCCCCGAGCUUAACUUGGGAACUGCAUUUGAAACUGGCAAGCUAGAGUCUUGUAGAGGGGGGUAGAAUUCCAGGUGUAGCGGUGAAAUGCGUAGCGAUCUGGAGGAAUACCGGUGGCGAAGGCGGCCCCCUGGACAAAGACUGACGCUCAGGUGCGAAAGCGUGGGGAGCAAACAGGAUUAGAUACCCCUGUAGUCCCUGUCUCUUAUAC
rnacentral:rRNA from 1 species